rnacentral:misc_RNA from 1 species
AAGUCGUAACAAGGUUUCCGUAGGUGAACCUGCGGAAGGAUCAUUAAUGAGUUAGGGUCUCCGGGCCCGACCUCCAACCCUUUGUUGUCACAAAACCAAUUUGUCUUGGCUUGGCACGUCGGACGGCCGUCGCAGGGCUCGCUGAUGCCGCAUUAGGCCGGCCCAGUCGCAGACCGGCAAAACGAAAAUCCAAUCUUCUUUGAUUAUCAAAGCCGUACGUCUGAGUAAAAACUGAUUAAAUCAAUCAAAA